UUAAGGCUAAUAACAUGGCAUUAAAGCUCUGACCUCACGGAAAGAGUGCAUUUAUUUGAACAAAACCAAGCGGCUUCGGCUGUUUCUGGUCGACUCAUAGUAACUGAGCUGAUCGCACGGUCUUGUACCGGCGACGUGUCUUUCAAGUAUCUGCCGUAUCAACUUUCGAUGGUAGUGUAUCUGACUACCAUGGUGAUCACGCGUAACGGAGAAUAAGGGUUCGACUCCGGAGAGUUCGCCUGAGAAAUCGCGAACACAUCUAAGGAAGGCAGCAGGCGCGAAAAUUACCACUCUCAGCACGAGGAGG
rnacentral:rRNA from 1 species